rnacentral:misc_RNA from 1 species
GACUGGCUUCCUUAGCAUCAAGAGUUUCAGAUUUUGUUUGCAAUAAGAAAUUCUUCUUCACAUCAUAUGAGCCACAGCAUAAAGUUAUUGGGACAAUCCACUGUCCAUCUCCAUGGGAACCACUUGAAAAGAAUUGUGACUGUUCAAAUUCCAAUUUCUGAUCUUUAAGUUUGACAGAUACAACAGGGUAUCCCUUUUGCCUCGUCCAUGAAUUCAUUAGCUUGUUCACAGGCUCACCAGAUCCUUCCUCAAGGGCAGCCCACAAGUGUUCUGUCUUUGCGUUUGAGUAAGCAUAUUUUUUGAUGUAUGCAGCAAGAGACCUCUGAAAGCAUUCAGCACCAAGAUAGCUUUGCAGCAUUCGGAUAACAGAGGCACCUUUUCUAUAGCUUAUAGCAUCAAAUAUUUCAUCAAUCUCAGAAGCAUGAUUUAUCUCAACCUCAAUCGGAUGGGAUUCUUCAAGGCCAUCAAGCCUAAGACCUUCAGUAGUUUCAUCAAGAAAUUGAGUCCAUAUCUUCCAUUCUGGAAACAAGCUAUCAGCUGCCAGAUAGCUCACCCAUGUUGCAAAACCCUCAUUAAGCCAUAAAUGCGUCCACCAUUCCAUCGUUACAAGAUUGCCGAACCACUGAUGUGCCAGCUCAUGUGCAACAACAGUAGCAACUCUCUGCUUGUUAGCUGCAGCAGAAUGCUUAUCGUCAAAGAGCAAAGCUGUCUCACGAUAUGUAACUAAGCCAUAAUUCUCCAUUGCCCCAGCAGCAAAGUCAGGGAUUGCAAUCAUAUCCAACUUGGGAAGAGGAUAUUGAACAGAAAAAUAUUCUUUAUAUAAUUCAAGUGUCUUCACAGCCACAUGCAAUGCAAAAUUCCCUUGAUUUGCCUUUCCAACUUGACAAUACACUCGAACUUUGAUCCCGUCAGAUGUGUGAUCUUCAACAUAAUCAAACAAACCAACGACCACAGCUACCAAAUAAGUAGACAUGAUAGGUGUUUCCUGAUACGAAACAGUCUUCAGAGGUCCAUCCACCUUCUCCUCUACAACUGGCAUAUUUGAAAGUGACACCAAUUCAGAUGGCACAUCCAAAGUUAUCUUGAAUUUAGCCUUGCAAGCGGGCUCGUCCCAACAUGGAAAACAUCUCCUAGCAUCGGCUGGCUCAAACUGAGUAACUGCCAUAUUUUUCUUCUCACCCUGAUGCUCAUAAGUACUUUUGUAAAAUCCCUUCAUUUUGUCGUUCAAAACUCCGUCGAACUGAAUAGUGAGAACUCCCACCCCAAUUGGAAGUGUCUCAGCAAACUCCAGCACCAGAAUCUCAUCUGCUUCCACUAAAUCAACUUUCACGGGCUCAAACACCUUAGAGGAGGUGAAGAAAACGGAGCCGGAGUUGACAGAGAGGUCGGCGGCGUUUAGGACAAUAAAUUUGGUAUCGGUAACGAUGUCGAGGUCGAUAGAGACAGAACCGGCGAAUGUGCAGGCGGAAAGGUCGGGUUUCAGGCGGAUGUCGUAGCGUUUAGGCACGGCAAAUUUCGGGAGGUGAGGCUGGCCUUUGAAUUGAUCCAUUUCUAUUCGAGGGUUUGAGAAAAUGAAUCAGAUGAGCCUGAGAGUAAAGAUGACUGGAAAUUUAUAGAAAUGUAUUGGGCAGGGCUGUGCACGGUUA